UACGUAGGGGGCUAGCGUUGUCCGGAUGUAUUGGGCGUAAAGAGCGUGUAGGCGGCCAGGUAGGUCUGCUGUGAAAACUCGAGGCUCAACCUCGAGACGUCGGCGGAAACCAUCUGACUAGAGUCCGGAAGAGGAGAGUGGAAUUCCUGGUGUAGCGGUGAAAUGCGCAGAUAUCAGGAAGAACACCCGUGGCGAAGGCGGCUCUCUGGGACGGUACUGACGCUGAGACGCGAAAGCGUGGGGAGCAAACAGG
rnacentral:rRNA from 1 species